rnacentral:tRNA from 3 species
GGGGCGGUAGCUCAGUUGGGAGAGCACCUGCUUUGCAAGCAGGGGGUCACCGGUUCGAUCCCGGUCCGCUCCA